UUGGACGUCGUCGACGGUCAGAGCCCCGAGCCGUGGCUCUAGAUGUCGCCGGAGUCCUGAUCCGUGGACCAGAUCACCGGCUGCCGGUAGCACCGUCUGGGUGGGGCAGUAAAUGCGUUUAGGUGCGGCGCUUGGUGCCACGGCAGAAAAGUUGGGUUAGGUAUUCUUCCCAGCCGGCGGGACGGUGAGGAAAUCUAGUGCGCCGGCGGUGGCUGCGCUACCAAGAGGCUCAGAAGUUCAGCGGCGGCCAUAGAGUUCCUGAUGCAACCUAUAAACAGAACAUUCCUAGAGGAGGUGAAUGAAAACAACGACAGUAUGGAGCCGAUUCGGUUCCCGGUGAGCGCGCCGGCAGAUAUUGAUCUGCCAUCGCGGGCAGCUUCAAGUGGGCACGGCCAGAUCUGCCUUGAAGACGUCGCUGCAGAGGCAGUAAGCGGAGGGAAGACUCAGGGUUCAGAGCAGUCGAUAGAGCAAAUGGACCCAAAAACUCCAGGUUGGACACAAAGAGUGCGUGUGGGUGCUGCUGCUCUAGGCAGGGCUCCUUGUCCAGACAGGGUGACAACCUUCGAAAAAACCGUACGGCAAUUUGCAAAGGAUCCAGGGGACAUUGUCAUUGUGCCAAAGAUAGGAACAAGUUUCGACACGCUCGGUGAAGCCUACGACUUUUACAAUUUAUAUUCUUGGGAGAAAGGAUUUGACAUUAGAUAUGGAAAGAGCAUGCUAAAUGUGAACCGGACGAAGUGCAUGCAAGAGAUAGUGUGUGGAUGUGCGGGGAAGCCAAUCGUUAAAAAUACACGAUCUUGUCGCUGUCAAUGCCCAGCACUCAUAAGGCUGUUGGGUUCCAAGGAUAAUGGGUGGUACUGUGCAGCCACAUCCUGAAGGUAAUGGACUUCAUAUGUGUCACAAAAAUCCCCAAAAAGCACAUUGUGAAGAGGUGGCACGAGAUGCAAGAGAUAUUCUUCCAGCACACCUCACACAAUACCAGAGGGACAAUGCUCAAGAAAACACAUUCAGUUUCCGGCAUUUCAAUAUGUAUAUGCAAGCCAUGGAGCUUGUCCGAAUGGGAGACUGCAGCGUGGCAGCGUAUCAACAUUUGAUUUCAAUGUUGAGGCAAUGUGCAUCUGAAAAUGAAGCCAUUCACAGAAGUGCGAGAUGGGUUGGGUUUGGAAGACAGGUUAGCAGACAAUAUAAAGGUUCCAUUAACGCCGUGUGCAGUUACGGAAGGUACACAGAUUACCAUCCGCGAUGGUGACUGCAACUCCGCAAACGAAUCUGGAAAUAUCCUAGCAACCUUAUUGCUGCCAGCAAAGUGUGACCAGCCAAAAAUGCUCCAAGGCCUGGGAUGGUCGAAUUCAGGUACUCUGGCUCUCUUCGAGGACAUACGGCCGUCUUCCUCGGCGUAGUGACGCAACACAUUAUUGUUCUCCUUCAGGGAAACACAGAUUCGGAGGCGUCAGUUAACCAGGGAGAUGAUCGUGUCCUUGCGAGAAGUGGGAGCUCAGUGGUUUCCUUGCUGUCUCUGCAGGUAAGCGGUGGUCACGAUGGCGAAGCACAUGGAUUACAAGAACUGCAUGGUGCACAUGAGGAGCAAGCUUACGGCGAUGCAGAGGAGGGUACGGCGACCACGGCCCUGGUGCUAAUGAGUCCGAUGAAGAUUACGUAGAAUCAGACGAUAGGUGUUUAGGAGACGAGGACGAUGUGCAAGAGAGCAACCGCCGCUGCGCCAAGCGUGCUAGAAUUAACUAAGAAUCCGUAUUGUAGGCCAUCGCGUGUCAAUGCAGCUAUGGUAAUGACGCCAUUUCCUUGCUGAUGAGUUGGACCAAUCAAGACAUCGUACUGUUCUGUUUAGUUCACCUGUAGCUUCAAAUGGGCCCUGCUUCCUGCAGUUGUAAACUUCCUGCAGUUGUAAACUUUUUGUUAUCGUACAAGCAGUGUGGUCUCUGUUGUGGUACUUGCAG